rnacentral:lncRNA from 1 species
UCUCUUCGGAUAGCCCAAGUUACAUCUAAAUUUUUUUUAUUAAUCUAAAUGAACAAGGAUCAAAUCUUCACUUGAUUAGCAAUGAAACCAGUAAUCAAAUCUCUAAAAAUCUGAAACAAACCUUCAUGGAGGCCUGAAAGUGCAGACCCUUUAUUUUGUAUACACGCCAGACAACACAGGAAAGUAGGAUGAACUCCAAUCAAAUCACCUUCGCAAUCCAAUCAAACAAGGGAGGA